AGAGUUUGAUCCUGGCUCAGAUUGAACGCUGGCGGCAGGCCUAACACAUGCAAGUCGAGCGGUAGAGAGAAGCUUGCUUCUCUUGAGAGCGGCGGACGGGUGAGUAAUGCCUAGGAAUCUGCCUGGUAGUGGGGGAUAACGUUCGGAAACGGACGCUAAUACCGCAUACGUCCUACGGGAGAAAGCAGGGGACCUUCGGGCCUUGCGCUAUCAGAUGAGCCUAGGUCGGAUUAGCUAGUUGGUGAGGUAAUGGCUCACCAAGGCGACGAUCCGUAACUGGUCUGAGAGGAUGAUCAGUCACACUGGAACUGAGACACGGUCCAGACUCCUACGGGAGGCAGCAGAGGGGAAUAUUGGACAAUGGGCGAAAGCCUGAUCCAGCCAUGCCGCGUGUGUGAAGAAGGUCUUCGGAUUGUAAAGCACUUUAAGUUGGGAGGAAGGGUUGUAGAUUAAUACUCUGCAAUUUUGACGUUACCGACAGGAUAAGCACCGGCUAACUCUGUGCCAGCAGCCGCGGUAAUACAGAGGGUGCAAGCGUUAAUCGGAAUUACUGGGCGUAAAGCGCGCGUAGGUGGUUUGUUAAGUUGGAUGUGAAAUCCCCGGGCUCAACCUGGGAACUGCAUUCAAAACUGACUGACUAGAGUAUGGUAGAGGGUGGUGGAAUUUCCUGUGUAGCGGUGAAAUGCGUAGAUAUAGGAAGGAACACCAGUGGCGAAGGCGACCACCUGGACUAAUACUGACACUGAGGUGCGAAAGCGUGGGGAGCAAACAGGAUUAGAUACCCUGGUAGUCC
rnacentral:rRNA from 1 species